GACGAACGCUGGCGGCGUGCUUAACACAUGCAAGUCGAACGGAAAGGCCCUGCUUUUGUGGGGUGCUCGAGUGGCGAACGGGUGAGUAACACGUGAGUAACCUGCCCUUGACUUUGGGAUAACUUCAGGAAACUGGGGCUAAUACCGGAUAGGAGCUCCUGCUGCAUGGUGGGGGUUGGAAAGUUUCGGCGGUUGGGGAUGGACUCGCGGCUUAUCAGCUUGUUGGUGGGGUAGUGGCUUACCAAGGCUUUGACGGGUAGCCGGCCUGAGAGGGUGACCGGCCACAUUGGGACGGAGAUACGGCCCAGACUCCUACGGGAGGCAGCAGUGGGGAAUAUUGCACAAUGGGCGGAAGCCUGAUGCAGCAACGCCGCGUGCGAGAUGACGGCCUUCGGGUUGUAAACCGAUUUCGCCUGUGACGAAGCGUGAGUGACGGUAAUGGGUAAAGAAGCACCGGCUAACUACGU
rnacentral:rRNA from 1 species